CUUGACAGGAAUUAAUUUAAUUUUCCCCAAGCUGAGACUGUUACUGGUGGCAGGGAUGGGAUUUCUCUGUCCGCCAUGGCAUUUCCCCAUGCUGUAGAGGAGCGGGGCAGAAGGGGCUGGGGCACCUCGCCGCCCGCCCCCACCCGGCGAGGAGCGCAGCACUAAGAGGGGCUCCUUGUGCCCAGAGAAAACAGUUCCAGUUCAGCAUCUCUGGUAACUAAGCUUUAAAUUCCUGAUUCCUUCCACCCAAAACUGAGACCCUGCUUCACCACUGCUCCAGAGUGCUCCUGGUGCAGGUGGAGGGAGUGGGACAGGCCCUUAAGGAACACACUCGGCCCUUGGGGAUCCAGAAGUUUCCCCCUCUUGUCAUGUACCAGCAGGACAGCCACCACAGAUGCACAUCAGAAACUUAGGGAAACUGAAGCCCCUCGACAACCAGUUUCCUAAGCAAAAAAGCCAGUCCUGACAAAGAAAAUACCUUCUUCAGCAUGAUAGAAAAACAGAGACUUGGACAAGAUGAAAAAGGAUUAUUUCAGGACCACUACAACUAGAACCAGCUGGGACUUUUUCAUUGUGACUUCUCAGUGUAUUCAGUAAAUUCAAAAGGUGGCAAGGAAAUGCCAGGAAGUUGUGUGCAACUGGCGUGGAAAGGAAACUAAUGAGAAGGGGUGCAGUGCAGCAUAUGCAGUUCUGAAACGAAGAGAGGUUAGUUACUUGCAUUGUCUCUGGUACUCAUCAGUUCACUAAUUCAUUUUAAUGAGUGGCACAAAAAUUGUGUAAUGAAAACAUAGGAAGAGCCUGAAAUGUUCUCAACUAAAAUUAUCUGAAAAAUUGAAAUUUAGACAAAAUUGAUAUAAGAAACUACUUUGUAACAACUGUGGUGCGUGGAUGACUGGAACAGCUGGAUCCCCCUGUGGUUUAGGGUGGACCGCCAUCCUCAUAUUUAGAUUUUUGUAGAAUAAAAGGACAAUUAAGUGAAGCCACUCUCUAGAAUGGUUCCCUCCAACUCUAUAGAGGGAGAAUGGAACUAGCCACCAGAAUUACGCAGACCAUCUUUGAUACGUUUUCUCUUUGAAAACCAUUCAAACUGACACUGCUCUAUUCACUACGGGUUUCCCCUACAACUCCACCCUGGUGUUUUACUACAAAUACUUUAAUGAUAUUGCCUCCCAACCACACACAACAGUAAUUAAGUAAAUGAAGUUACAAGGCUGUUUAAGGGAGCAGGGAAGAGAGGUAAGUACCCCCCCUGCAUCACUUGCACAACAUUAGUCCCAUCUGAUUAGGGUUCCUGUGAAUCCUACAGCACUUUGCCUGAGGCUUGCAUAUUCUGUGUUUACAUCCUCCUUCGCGUGCAGCUGAGAUUUUGCCUGAAGAUGAUCAUCUCCCAUCAGGAUAAACUUCAUCCUCACUGCAUAUAGUGCAUCUCGUUUUGAAGUAUUUUAGCAAAUGUUAUUUACUCUCAUGGCCUGCAAGAUCAGCAUGUCCACACACUCUUCAUAUGCAAACAAGCCCAGGCACACA